GCCAGACGCGGUGGUGCGCGCCUGUAGUCCUUGCUACUCGGGAGACUGAGGCAGGAGGAUUGCUUGAGCCCAGGAGUUCUGGGCUGUAGUGCGCUAUGCAGAUCAGGUGUCCACACUAAGUUCAGCAUCAAUAUGGUGACUUCCCGGGAGCGAGGGGACCACAGGUUGCCUAAGGAGGGGUGAACCGGCCCAGGUCGGAAACAGAGCGCUGUACCAGUUUACAUUCCCACCAACAGUGUAGGAGGGUGCCUGUCUCUCCACACCCUGGAGAGGGAAGAUAU
rnacentral:SRP_RNA from 1 species